CCCAUCUCUGUGAAUGUUUAACACCACAAAGCUAUUGACUUAUUCUGGUCUGGAGAACAGUGCCAAACCCCCAGGGAUAGGGACUUUGAAGAUGUGAGCCAUCACAGAGAAUUGCAUCAUGCUACAGUCUUAAAGGAAGAUGGUGUCUCCUUCAGUCCACAGCUGGGCCUCAAGACCACACCUUGCCUGACUGCCCAGGUGGUCAGCUCUUCUUGAAGGAUGGAUGCUCUCUUUUGCAGAAAGAGGACCUAGAAAGACAUCUCGUAUAAGAAAGCACAGCGGGGAAGCAGCAGGGUGUUGCAGAAAGGCACUUGAGACCCUGAGCCAGGAGGGAACGGUGAAACUGCACUGGACUGUGGAAGAAUCAAAGUUGCCGUGGCUGACCCAGGUUCAGGGGACCAACCCAGUUCACGCUGGUGAUGGGCAAGUGUGGGGCUCACAGUGACUUCUGGAGUGAGGAAGAAUCAGGCUAGUUGCCAGCUUCUUUUCAGAAGGCAUGCCCACCUAUGCCACACCUACAUCUUCGAGCAUGCUCAGCUC